CCGCCCCACUGAUUGGUCUGUCUUGGAAGAGAGCUCUCAUAUUGGUGUAGUUUUCUUUCUGCGUCUUCGGACCCUGCCUUGUUUCUCGUUGGUGGCCGGGCUUGCCAUUCUCGUCUCGGUUAUCCGUUCCCACCCUUUCUCUGUGUGCUUUAGAAAUUGCCACAGCCACCCCAGUCUUCAACAACCACUACAACAACCUGAUCAGAUAGCAGUCAUCACAUUGAGGCCAGACCCUCCACCAGCAAAAAGAUUACAAAUUGUUGAGGGCUCAAAUGAUGGUUAGCAUUUUUUGGCAAUAAAAUAUUUUUAAUUAA